rnacentral:rRNA from 1 species
UACGUAGGGUGCGAGCGUUGUCCGGAAUUACUGGGCGUAAAGAGCUCGUAGGUGGUUUGUCGCGUUGUUCGUGAAAACUCACGACUCAAUUGUGGGCGUGCGGGCGAUACGGGCAGACUGGAGUACUGCAGGGGAGACUGGAAUUCCUGGUGUAGCGGUGGAAUGCGCAGAUAUCAGGAGGAACACCGGUGGCGAAGGCGGGUCUCUGGGCAGUAACUGACGCUGAGGAGCGAAAGCGUGGGGAGCGAACAGG